rnacentral:rRNA from 1 species
AUUGAACGCUGGCGGCAGGCCUAACACAUGCAAGUCGAGCGGAUGAAGAGAGCUUGCUCUCUGAUUCAGCGGCGGACGGGUGAGUAAUGCCUAGGAAUCUGCCUGGUAGUGGGGGACAACGUUUCGAAAGGAACGCUAAUACCGCAUACGUCCUACGGGAGAAAGCAGGGGACCUUCGGGCCUUGCGCUAUCAGAUGAGCCUAGGUCGGAUUAGCUAGUUGGUGAGGUAAUGGCUCACCAAGGCGACGAUCCGUAACUGGUCUGAGAGGAUGAUCAGUCACACUGGAACUGAGACACGGUCCAGACUCCUACGGGAGGCAGCAGUGGGGAAUAUUGGACAAUGGGCGAAAGACCUGAUCCAGCCAUGCCGCGUGAGUGAUGAAGGCC